rnacentral:hammerhead_ribozyme from 1 species
AUACAGCUGACGAGUCCCAAACAGGACGAAAUGGCGCACGUCCUCGAU